rnacentral:rRNA from 1 species
UGGGUUUGACAUGUUUCCGACCGGUCUAGAGAUAGGCCUUCCCUUCGGGGCGGAUUCACAGGUGCUGCAUGGCUGUCGUCAGCUCGUGUCGUGAGAUGUUCGGUUAAGUCCGGCAACGAGCGCAACCCGUGUCGUUAUUUGCCAUCAGUUCGGCUGGGCACUAUAGCGAGACUGCCCGUGUCAAGCGGGAGGAAGGCGCGGAUGACGUCAAGUCCGUAUGGCCCUUAUGCCCAGGGCUGCACACGUGCUACAAUGGCUGGUACAAUGGGAAGCAAUGUCGCGAGGCGGAGCGAAUCCCCAAAACCGGCCCCAGUUCGGAUUGGAGUCUGCAACUCGACUCCAUGAAGUCGGAAUCGCUAGUAAAGGCGUAUCAGCAAUGACGCCUUGAAUACGUUAACGGGUCU